rnacentral:rRNA from 1 species
GAGACUCUGUGCGCGUGCAUAUCAAUAAGCGGAGGAAAAGAAACUAACAAGGAUUCCCUUAGUAACGGCGAGUGAAGCGGGAAGAGCUCAAAUUUGAAAUCUUCAAGGUUCUACCUUGACGAAUUGUAGUUUAUAGAAGUGUUUUCUGUUAGUGGAGUGGCAAAAGUUCUUUGGAAUAGGACAUCAUAGAGGGUGAGAAUCCCGUAUUUGGUCAUUCCUCCUAGCGUUGUGAUACACUUUCAACGAGUCGGAUUGUUUGGGAAUGCAGUCCAAAAUGGGUGGUAAAUUUCAUCUAAAGCUAAAUAUUGGCGAGAGACCGAUAGCGAACAAGUACCGUGAGGGAAAGAUGAAAAGAACUUUGAAAAGAGAGUUAAACAGUACGUGAAAUUGUCAAAAGGGAAGCGUUUGACACCAGUGUUGUUUUUCCGAAAAUCAAUUACGAAUGUUUUGUUUUUGAGGAGUUAUGACUUCAUCGGCUUGCUCCUUUCUUUACGAAACUUUCUUAAUGCACUUUUCGGUUAACAAGUCAACAUCAAUUUCUUUUGUUGUAAAAGGGUAUGAGGAAGGUGGCUUUCUUUUCGGAUGAAAGUGUUUAUAGCCUUGUAGCCUCUGCAGUCGGAGAGAUUGAGGUCUGCAGCGUAGAUCCUUCGGGGUUAGAUACAGUUUGUGCUAAGUUAUAGCUUUUCAUAGACAACUUGUUGACUAUGUUUAGUCUUGUAGCUUACUCGCUGAUGCUAUUUUACCUACGCUUAGGAUGUUGACAGCAGUAUAGACUGU